rnacentral:rRNA from 1 species
GACGAACGCUGGCGGCGUGCUUAACACAUGCAAGUCGAACGGUAAGGCCCUUCGGGGUACAUGAGUGGCGAACGGGUGAGUAACACGUGGGUGAUCUGCCCUGCACUUCGGGAUAAGCAUGGGAAACUGGGUCUAAUACCGGAUAGGACUCCGGACUGCAUGGUCUGGGGUGGAAAGCUUUUGCGGUGUGGGAUGGGCCCGCGGCCUAUCAGCUUGUUGGUGGGGUGAUGGCCUACCAAGGCGACGACGGGGAGCCGGCCUGAGAGGGUGACCGGCCACACUGGGACUGAGAUACGGCCCAGACUCCUACGGGAGGCAGCAGUGGGGAAUAUUGCACAAUGGGCGCAAGCCUGAUGCAGCGACGCCGCGUGAGGGAUGACGGCCUUCGGGUUGUAAACCUCUUUCAGCAUCGACGAAGCGAAAGUGACGGUAGGUGCAGAAGAAGGACCGGCCAACUACGUGCCAGCAGCCGCCGUAA